ensembl:lncRNA
GGGACUUUAACAUUCGGGCAUAGCAAUCAAGCACAGAGUGCGGAUAGGUUGUAGAUCCUCCCUAGAUAGGGAGAAAGAGGCUGACUCUGUGUAUGUUUACACAAAGCUAGCUCGAAUCAUUUGCUUUUCACUCCACUGUUGUAGCAUUAGAUAGCUAGCAUGCAUGGUUGAUUGUCUAGCAGUCCACAAAGAAAAUAUUUGAAUAUUUCCCUAGGUAGAUAUCUCUGAAAUGGUGCGGUCAAGUUUAGAGCAAAUUCAUCUGGGACCUCAUCUGGCACUGCUUCAAGCAUUUCAUCUGGCGCUGCGUCUAGCGUUUCAUCUGGCGCUGCGUCUAGCGUUUCGUCUGGCACUUCAAGGGGUUGAGUAGCCUACAACAUGUUGAUGAGACGAGGGCGGGUUCGAGCUGCUGAAAAUGUCUGGAACUACACAGAGCCAUCAUCUUAUACCUGUCCCAUGCCCCAAUCGGGGCUACAGUUUGAGAUAUCUGAAAGACCCUUGUGUCGUGCUACUCUACAUUCACCCGCUGUAAAGGAAUUUGCAUAUGGAGCAUGUAAGUCUAAUUUCUCAGUUUAUGCACUUUUAAUGAACUUUAGAGCACUUACUAAUCCAAAGUAGAUAUGUUGUGUUAAGCAAUAUUUACAACAGAUGAUAACAAAAAUCUAUAGAUGAUAAGUGUCUUCUCUGUUUUUUAUUUAUUUAUGUAAUUUUCUCAUCAAUUAGGAACUGAAUGAUUCAGUUGUUGCUCAAAGUGGAUCAUUGACACAAUGCCUAAACUGUGAAGAACAACUUUACUUUGCACAAAUAAGAAGGCACAGUGAAGCCUGCUCCAGGUAAUGCUCUGAAUGGGAAAUUAAUCAUGGUGAUGUUGGGAAAAUAUGAUAUUCUCCAUUUAUGGAAGGUGCACUCAUCAUUACAAAUGAUGGUAUGGUCAUGUUGCACAUCAAUAACAGAACACUUAAGUAGUUUGAUCAUUUGUUAGUUUAGAUGUAAAGGUACAAUUGAAUUGAGCUGUUAUGGGUGUUAACUUCUUGGUUCAUUGUUGCUGUACAUUUCUUUAUGAUAAAGAUGAUAAUUACAACACUUCACUAUCAGGCUAUCAGCUGUUGUAGAGGGGAGUUAUGAAAAUGUUCUGUUUAGAUAACUGUUAGUAUCUGAUAUACCUAACUCCUCAGCUCAACUCUUCAAGUCAAUCACAGGUUGAAAGGGCGGGGGAGAAUGAAAGGGAGAAUGGCGGUGCAGCUAUCCCUAGAGCCGGUGGGACAAGUUCCUCCACCGGUCAGCAUCCAGUUGUAGAUUUGGCAAUGGAGGUGUGUCUGGAGACAGGUUCAGAUGAGGGUUUAUAUUCUGAAGGCUUACAGAUCAGUUUUAAGGGAUUGGUAAUUUAGCACGUCUUAGGGCUAGUUAUUAAUGUUAAUGUACAAUUUUCCACCUGACCUUGAGCUUAGGGGUUUCCUUAGUGGAAAGGAACAGGGCCAUAAUCCUUUUCUCACAAUGGCAUCCAAUGGCUAGGUUUGCUGAGCUUGUGUAACUUUACAUUGACUGAUUUCAAAUAUGUUUACAAGGUGACUCUGCCAUUGGAGAAGGGGUCACCAGGUAUGUCCUGUCCACUGUCAUGGAAAAUCUUUUUAAUAUAUUGAUUUAUAGACUUGUAGAUUAUGUGAAACAGUUUUUCCCCAGGUCAGUCAAAAAGAGAACUGUUUAUUUAAGAUGACCUUGCUCUUUGAGGGUGAGCAGGACCAUUGUGUUCCUUCCACAUCUCAAGCACUUUUGGAAAGUCAUUUUAUUUUUGGGGGAGUAGCUGGGUGCAUGAUUGGGCACUUAAUUUUUUAAAUUUAUUUUAUUUUAUUUAUUUAAAUGGUGGCUCACACCUUGCAGGACUAAGCCCUGCUAUCAUACAUGUACUGUUUGGCAGAGAACCAGAGACGGCACCGAUAACCUUAUCUGACUGCGUGGACCACGAUGUCCGGGAUGUCAUCCAGUUGGUUCGGAGAAACAUUUUUAUCUUUUGUGUAUAUAUAUAUAUAUAUAUAUAUAUAUAUAUGUUUUUUUUGGUAGGUUCAUCAGAGGUCCUGAAGAAUUUGUCAGAGGUGCUGAAGAGUGCUUUUUUUCUUCUUCUUUUUUACCCUGAAGCUGUCAAAUAAUACUAUGACAUAUGAGAAUUUUGAAAAUGAUCUGAUGGCAAGCAUCUCCUCAUCCUACUCUGGGUUUGGUCCGUUUUGAUUCAAAGCCCUGCAGGAAGACACAAUGUUCACAUCAGCUCAAAAGUUUUAUAGCACUUUUUAUUGUUAUUUGAUAUACUUUAGUAAACCGUGAUACAGACACUUUGAUAAAGUGGCUUACAUUUGACAUUCUAAUGGUAAUGGUUAACCAAAAAAGUCAAAGCUGUACAAUUUGAAAGAUUAGAGAGCUAGAAUGAAGGUAGUGACGGCCUAGGAACAGUGGGUUAACUGCCUGUUCAGGGGCAGAACGACAGAUUUGUUGACCUUGUCAGCUCGGGGAUUUGAACUUGCAACCUUUCGGUUACUAUUCCAACACUCUAAUCACUAGGCUACCCUGCCACCCCAAUUCCCAAUGGCCUUGCAGGCAGAUGCAUUCUAGAUAGAUCCUAUUGGAGGAGGAACCUGAAGCUGAGGGGCCAGUUCAACGGCCUACCCUCCAUAUAUACUCCCAUUAUCCCUAUUUAAAAGUCCUGUCUUAAAAGGUUUCCUCAAGGAAGUGCCUAGGCAGUCAAGCAGCAGAAGAGAAAUGUGCCUUUUAGAAGCUCAGAGUAGUUGGCUAAUCCAAAUUGAUGGCCACAAACAGAGGAAAAUAAUUGCUGGUUGUAAAUAAAAUAAAAAUUGAAAGGAAUUUCUAGGAAAUGGUGAUAUUAAUGCACUGCCUCAUUUCUAUAUUGGAUAAAGGAAUUAAGUACAUGAGGACAAAUAUUGAGUUGGUAUGUGUUCUGGGUCCCUCUCAAAGAAACCAAUGCUAAUUGUGACUAACAUCUCCUCUUUAUAGAUGGCAAACUAUUUACUUUUGAAGCCAGGUGGGGUUUUCCAACUGUGGGAAACAUGCUGUAUUAGGGAAUAUUGUGUGGUAUAUCAGAAUUCCCAUGCACUUGUUCUAUGCCUGGCUGCACUACAAGGUGAACUGUAAGGCAAGUUACCCUCAAACUGUACAAGAGACUGAAAAAACUGAUGCUUCAUCUGAUGUUUGAAUAUUUUUGAUAUAUCUACAACAUAUCCACUCUAUAUGACUGCAUUUACCCUGAAAUAUGUUUUCCACCACACUGAGGGAGAAGGUGUCUCAACUGGCCAAUCAACGUUAGGGGUGCCCUUGACAAACGAGGCCCAUUGCUCCUCCAGUUUAACUUGACCUUCACCUGCCUGCAGCUUUGCUGGAUCCAUUUUGCGCUCGUUUUCUGCAAUAAAGCGCCUAAUGUAUAUUAACCAACAUUGGUGUUCAUAAGGGCCAGAGUCUGAAAGGCCUGAUAAAGACAAAUACCUCCACUUUUACACCAGGUGAGGGGUUUCUUUAUUGCCGUGAACUGGGUCUGAGAGGAGCAGGACACCAGAGGCUGCAAUGAAGUGAAAACAAAUAGAUUCUGAAAAAAUUCAAAAGUGUACAGGGUUCAGUGCAGGGGCAUCCCAACUGCCUGAGUGCACUCUGGGAUUGUAAAAUUCAACUGAACAGGUCAAAUACUGUUUCGAGUAAUUAACGCAGAGGCCUGGGGAAAUCUGGGUGGCCUAAAUGCUAAAAACCAGCCAGAGUCUUAAAUGUAGCAUGCCCAUGGGUAAGGGGCCAGAUCCAAGCCAAAGCAAUGUUAUGAAUUCAAACAGGCAUCUUUCUGCCUUGUUAUGUCUCACUUCCUUAGAAAAACAUUGGAAUUUGUCAUGUUUCUGCGUAAUUACCGAGUUGCCUCAGACAGCCUGUCUGUUGAAUUUAACAAGACGUUUUAGGAAGGACAAGCCCUUCUGAAUAAACAACAAAUUAUGACUGUGUGCACUCCGCAGUUAGGAAGUCUUCUCUGCCUUGUACUGUAAGAUAUGGAAUUUAUAGCUCUAAAGCUGUAUAACUGUUCAAACAGUGUGGGACAGAGUGAUAAGGCAUUACUCUUAUUUCUCAGCCCUCUGCCUUUUCUUAUAUUGAAAUAUGCUGCAAGGCCUUUGGCACAGUUCAUUAAUACAGUAAGAUCCAGUAUAUCAUGAAUCCAUUAUUUGGGGACGUUGAGAAUAUGUGACUGCAGGUAAUUACAGUGAACUGUUAAUUCAGCACCCAGUAGACAGUGUUUCCUGUCACACACAGUGAUGAAUAUGUGAGCUGUGCCUCAAGACCUCCCCAGUGAAAUCUGACAGUAGAUGGGCAGAGCAGCCGUUUGACCCAUGAACUUUCCUGAAGAGAGGGCGGUGUUUCAAGGUGAUAAGGGCUUUAGCCCAGAGAAUCCUGACACUGAAUAAACCUGAUGUAGUGUAUUGUAACAGAAGCCAGAUUUGGGGUCGCUCCACUUGCACUUCCACUAACACCUUAUAACAAACUUCCCUCGGAGUCCAAACAUUUAAGGAAGAAAAUUAUACAGUCUAGUGUGAAGGGGUCAGAGAGUGAAAAGGGAGAGGCCCAUUUACACAUAUUAGUGUGCCCUACCAAGGUGACUGGCUUCAGUUGGUCUUGAUAGGGUUUGUAGCACCUGAUCCUGUUCGAGGCCCCCGCUCACGUUCCAUCCCUUGCUCCCCACGCUGUGAUGUGAUGUCCUCGUUCUGUGGCCUGGCUCAAAUUGAAAUCAUAAGUUGCUCCAGAGGCCGUUGCCUCUGUGUUCUGGGGGUCUGUGGAGAGCAGGCUGUGUCGGCAAGCCUUUCCACACUGUUGCAGUGUUCGCCCCAGAUUAUUACAGCAUAGAUAGCACUGAGGAAUAGAAGGACUACAGUGGUCAUUACGGUGCGUGAUAUGGUGAGGGUGGUAUUUUGAGUUUGCUUGUCUCAGGAGGGGCAUGAUUGAUAGUUAGACAUACAUCACCAGAAAUAAACGUUUUAAUGUAUUCUUUAAACAGUCGUGAAGAAGACAUUCAGUUGAAGUGACACUUUUUGUUCUACUCUUUAGUUGAACUGCUCAGACGGUCUGUCUGCUCACUAGUGUAAAGACAGCAGCAUGUCUUAUUAUUGACUGUUUCUCACCGCAGUUUUACUGAGACAGUCAAUUAGGACAGGGCAAACUACAAAUUCAAAUGAAAGAAUAGAAUUGAGCGGUUAUUGAACACCCUUUCUAAAGGCUCCACAAGUAAGCAUCAGUAAUGUUUGUUUACCAUGCUUCCUGGUGUACUUUGGGCUUAAAUCUGAUUUUUAAAGGCAAACUCAAAAUUUGUGAUGACAGUUUAUUUCACAGAAUAGCACUAAAGUAAAGCACUUUGGCAAAUGAAUACACCCUUGACAAGUUGUCAGACAAUCGAUGAGGGAUUUUACGUCACAUUCGCUCAUUCUUUUGGGAGGUAAAAUGCUUUGGCACUAAAUCAGCCAUAUACAGGACAUUUUACAGUGUACCAUCUUGACUCACUGUUCAGUUUAUAGUUUCUUAUUACAGUGUACCAUCUUCACUCACUGUUCAGUUUAUAGUUUCUUAUUACAGUG